GACGAACGCUGGCGGCGUGCUUAACACAUGCAAGUCGAACGGAAAGGCCCUGCUUUUGUGGGGUGCUCGAGUGGCGAACGGGUGAGUAACACGUGAGUAACCUGCCCUUGACUUUGGGAUAACUUCAGGAAACUGGGGCUAAUACUGGAUAGGAGCUCCUGCUGCAUGGUGGGGGUUGGAAAGUUUCGGCGUUUGGGGUUGGACUCGGGGCUUAUCGGCUUGUUGGUGGGGUAGUGGCUUACCAAGGCUUUGACGGGUAGCCGGCCUGAGAGGGGGAACGGAGACACGGGAAUGGGUCCGGCGGGCGGAGUCCGAGGGGGGGAGGGAGGGGGGAAUGUAGCACAGAGGCAGCGACGCUGCGGCAGGAACGCAGGGGGCGGGGUGCUGGCCUUCGGUUGGAAGUCGGGAUGGACCCGUGAGGAGGGGUGGGUGCGGGAAAGGGGUAAAGAAGCGCCGGCUAACUACGUG
rnacentral:rRNA from 1 species